UACGGGGGGGGCAAGCGUUGUUCGGAAUUACUGGGCGUAAAGGGCCAGUAGGCGGCCAACUAAGUCCGACGUGAAAUCCCAAGGCUUAACCUUGGAACUGCGUCGGAUACUGGAUGGCUUGAAUUCGGGAGAGGGAUGCGGAAUUCCAGGUGUAGCGGUGAAAUGCGUAGAUAUCUGGAGGAACAUCAGUGGCGAAGGCGACACCCUGGACUCAUACUGACACUGAGGUGCGAAAGCGUGGGGAGCAAACAGG
rnacentral:rRNA from 1 species